rnacentral:rRNA from 1 species
CCCUACGGGGCGCAGCAGUAGGGAAUCUUCCACAAUGGGCGAAAGCCUGAUGGAGCAACGCCGCGUGGGUGAAGAAGGUCUUCGGAUCGCAAAACCCUGUUGUUAGAGAAGAAAGUGCGUGAGAGUAACUGUUCACGUUUCGGCGGUAUCUAACCAGAAAGCCACGGCUAACUACGUGCCAGCAGCCGCGGUAAUACGUAGGUGGCAAGCGUUAUCCGGAUUUAUUGGGCGUAAAGGGAACGCAGGCGGGCUUUUAAGUCUGAUGUGAAAGCCUUCGGCUUAACCGGAGUAGUGCAUUGGAAACU